CAUGCAGGCGGUCGGACGCGUUUUGUGUGACAGCGGGUGGCUUAACUACCCGAGUAUGCGAAAGACGGUUUGACUUGAGGGCUCGAGAGGGACACGGAAUUCCGGGUGGAGUGGUGAAAUGCGUAGAGAUCCGGAGGAACACCGAAGGCGAAGGCAGUGUCCUGGCGAGUGACUGACGCUGAGGUGCGAAAGCUAGGGGAGCGAACG
rnacentral:rRNA from 1 species